rnacentral:rRNA from 1 species
GAUGAACGCUGGCGGCGUGCCUAACACAUGCAAGUCGAACGAAUUUAACUUUAAAGGAAGUUUUCGGAUGGAAUUUAAAGUAGUUAGUGGCGGACGGGUGAGUAACGCGUGGGAAACCUGCCCUAUACAGGGGGAUAGCCUCGGGAAACUGGGAUUAAUACCCCAUAAAACUCUAGUAUCGCAUGAUACAUGAGCCAAAGAUUUAUCGGUAUAGGAUGGUCCCGCGUCUGAUUAGCUAGUUGGUGAGGUAACGGCUCACCAAGGCGACGAUCAGUAGCCGGCCUGAGAGGGUGAUCGGCCACAUUGGAACUGAGACACGGUCCAAACUCCUACGGGAGGCAGCAGUGGGGAAUAUUGCACAAUGGGCGAAAGCCUGAUGCAGCAACGCCGCGUGAGCGAAGAAGGCCUUUGGGUCGUAAAGCUCUGUCGGGUAGGAAGAUAAUGACGGUACUACCCGAGGAAGCCCCGGCUAACUACGUG